GUCUACAGCCAUUCCACCCUGAACACGCCCGAUGUAAUCUAAUCUCGGAAGCUAAGCAGGCUUGGGUCUGGUGAGUACAUGGACAAGAGAGGCAAGCGGAGAAGCAAUUACAGAAGCCAGACC
rnacentral:rRNA from 1 species